CCUCAUAGCUCAGUUGGUAAAUCAUCUGCCUGCAAUGCAGGAGACCCAGGUUCAAUUCCUGGGAUGAGAA
rnacentral:tRNA from 1 species